GGGUUGUGAGGUUAAGCGACUAAGCGUACACGGUGGAUGCCCUGGCAGUCAGAGGCGAUGAAGGACGUGCUAAUCUGCGAUAAGCGUCGGUAAGGUGAUAUGAACCGUUAUAACCGGCGAUUUCCGAAUGGGGAAACCCAGUGUGAUUCGUCACACUAUCAUUAACUGAAUCCAUAGGUUAAUGAGGCGAACCGGGGGAACUGAAACAUCUAAGUACCCCGAGGAAAAGAAAUCAACCGAGAUUCCCCCAGUAGCGGCGAGCGAACGGGGAGCAGCCCAGAGCCUGAAUCAGUGUGUGUGUUAGUGGAAGCGUCUGGAAAGGCGCGCGAUACAGGGUGACAGCCCCGUACACAAAAAUGCACAUGCUGUGAGCUCGAUGAGUAGGGCGGGACACGUGGUAUCCUGUCUGAAUAUGGGGGGACCAUCCUCCAAGGCUAAAUACUCCUGACUGACCGAUAGUGAACCAGUACCGUGAGGGAAAGGCGAAAAGAACCCCGGCGAGGG
rnacentral:rRNA from 2 species